rfam:Gossypium raimondii Chr02_contig_1407, whole genome shotgun sequence.
UAUUAAAAAUUCUAUCCAUUUCUACUAUUAAAAACUGGCACCUAUAUGUUAGCAUGAGGUACACGUAACAUGCUACGUGUAACAGUAGAAAUGAAUGGAAUUUUUAAAG